CUUCUCCUCUAGACAGGUUUUGAUAAAUCUCCCACAUUGUGUGCACAGACAACCACUUUCCCAUGGACUUACGUAGAGCACAGUAAAGAAAGUUUGGUUAUCCCCAUGAACCAGUGAUUGAGUCACCAACAAAUGAAGUUAUGAAUGAUUACUGGCAGCAUGGAGAUCGCAUAUUAAUUUAUUACCAAUUCCAUCACAAGAUGUCAGAGACACCAGAGCUGAGAAAGGAGUCUGACACAAGGGAUCUAGAGAAUGGGUGUUGUGCCGGCCCACAGGAGAGCUGGAGAGGGCAGAGUCUGGCGCACUGGGAAUCUUCAAAAAGGAGUUAUGUGGCACAUAAGAAGGUUGGGAAAGGUGUGGUCCAACAUUUAAAGGAUGAGAAUGCGCUGACAUAGUGAGGAGACGUCUGGGUGUCACAUUCUGCAGAGAGAAGUUUUAGCUGGAACAAGUCCUGGCGCGGGUUUUCAAUUAGACUUUAAAAAGGAGUAACUGAUAAUUUGGGAUGUAUGUGAGGGGCCCCAGCCCUGGUUGACCCCACCCUUUUGUUACUGGGAGGCAAGAAACAACGCAGGAAACAUCACUGUUUGCCAUUGUGUUCUCCUCUCUUCUCUUUGACGUAAAGUAAAAGUUUCUUAUGUUACAACAUUUUUGUUUUAUUUCCCCGUCAAGUUAGUGUAAUGUACAGUUUUGAUCAAACUAAUAGUUGUAUACGAAAAAGACAAUGUAAUCUUGAGUCCUGCCAACAUUUAAACAUGUUAAGAACUUUGAAAGCUUAACACUAGUAAAACUAAGACAGUUUAGAUAAGAAAGUCCACUGAGAGUGUCAGGGACUUCAUUUCUCAGCAUGUAAAAAUGGAAGAUCUCACAGGCCAGAUGCAUACAACACAUAAAACUUUACUGUACUGCAUAACUAUUACAAAGAAAGAAUGUUACCAAUUUGUUCAGCUAUAAAAUUGUGAUACUUUUCUUACACUGUUUGAAAUGAUGGAGUUAUCCCUUCAACUUCUAAAAGGAAAGCAUCUCCAAUCACCUAUACUGUUACUGUUCAUUCCGUCAUUAAACAGGGUUAACGGAAAGUUCACACUGAAUCGCUGCUCACAUUCUAAGCACUGGAUAAAGUUCUCAGCCAACGUAAACAUUACUUACAAGUACUCCCAAAGUCUCAUCACUAGCACUAUAGUAGGCUGAACGUGUUGGUGACUGGGAUAGACAACAUAACUCCCAGGAUCAAAUGAAGUCUUCUACUCCCAAUUUGCAUACAAAUAUCAUAUUUAUGCAGUGGAACCUAAUAAUCUAGAUACCCAACACCUCUUCCACAAGUGAAAAGAAACAGAACCUAGAGAACUAUGAGUGAAAUGACGGACUCUGUAUAAACACCAUGGACACUCUCUUCAGCACAGAUCAGCCUGUUACAUUAUGUAAUCACACGGCUCACCAUGCAGCAUGACCUGGUAAUUUGCUUUCUGUUUAUCUGGCUCAUAUUUGAAAUGUUUCUUCCUGAAGCAUAUUGGACAGAACGUUACCAGUAAAUACUCCAUGGAAAUGGUUUAUGCUGUAACUUUUAAAGAAAGCCACGCUUUUGAUCAAUAUUUCAUAGGUGAAAUCUAUGUGAAAU